rnacentral:rRNA from 1 species
UGGGGAAUUUUGCGCAAUGGGCGAAAGCCUGACGCAGUAACGCCGCGUGGGGGAUGAAGGCCCUAUGGGUCGUAAACCCCUUUCAGUGGGGACGAAACUGACGGUACCCACAGAAGAAGGUCCGGCCAACUACGUGCCAGCAGCCGCGGUAAGACGUAGGGACCGAGCGUUGUCCGGAUUUAUUGGGCGUAAAGAGCUCGUAGGCGGUUGCGUAAGUCGGAUGUGAAAGCUCGGGGCUCAACCCCGAGACGCCAUCCGAUACUGCGCUGACUUGAAUCCAGUAGGGGAGUGUGGAAUUUGUUGUGUAGCGGUGAAAUGCGCAGAUAUAACAAGGAACACCUAUGGCGAAGGCAGCACUCUGGGCUGGUAUUGACGCUGAGGAGCGAAAGCGUGGGUAGCAAACAGGAUUAGAUACCCGUGUAGUCC